UCUGGUGUCAGCCGCCGCGGUAAUACCAGCUCUCCGAGUGGUGGGGAUAUUUAUUGGGCCUGAAGCAUCCGUAGCCGGCUGGGCAAGUCCCCUGUUAAAUCCAGCGACUCAAUCGUUGGACUGCGGGGGAUACUGUUCGGCUAGGGGAUGAGAGAGGCCGACGGUAUUUCCAGGGUAGGGGUGAAAUCCUAUAAUCCUGGGAGGACCACCAGUGGCGAAGGCUGUCGGCUAGAACGCGCUCGACGGUGAGGGACGAAAGCUGGGGGAGCGAACCGGAUUAGAUACCCGGGUAGUCCCAGCUGUAAACGAUGCAGGCUAGGUGUUGGCGCGGCUACGUGCCGCUCCAGUGCCGCAGGGAAGCCGUUAA
rnacentral:rRNA from 1 species